rnacentral:sRNA from 1 species
CAAAGAGAAAACAUGAUUCAACUGUACCCCUGCCAUUGUGUAAAAGUCACUCAAAUUAUGAAUGGAGGAUCUUCACAUCAUGGAUUUGCGUCUCGCACUGUGAUGCGCCUAAGAGAAUUGAACUGACAUCACAACUGUGGAGUUGCCUGGCGCCUAAAAUACCUUCAAGGCGCCUCAGGACAUUACCUACCCCAUCCAUCGCACCCACGUCCUGAAAUGUUUAAGGGUAUCCCGUGAUCCAUCACCGGUUCUUACUUCGCCGCUGUCUAGCCACUUACCCCAUAUUCCGUUGAUUUAGCCUUCCAUCACUCAAUUAUAAGGCAAGUAUUUUCAAUGAUAAUUCAUCAUACAAAUUCAACUAUUUUAUUAAAUGGGAAAAAGUUUUACACCAUUAAUAAUGUUAAGAUAAAAAAGAAAUUUUCAAAUUAAAAUUUAAAAAAAUUAAACUUCUAAACAAUUGCAAGAAAAAGUUAAACUUUUGGAUAUAAAAUCGUUAACUAUCCUUUUAUAAACUACUAUUAUUUAAAAACAUAUAUUAAAAAUUUUGUAACUUCCUCCGAUGAAUGUUAAUGACUGCCAGUGUAGAAUGUGGCCUUGGUGGCGGCCUCUGCGCUUAAUAAGGUCCCUGCGAGUUCUCGUCUGUGCGUCCGCCCGUCAAGUCUUUGGUAAGUUUUGUCUAGUUCAAGUGUAGUUGUCGUAGUUAGUUUUUGUCCCAAACGUCUUUUUUUCUUUUCAGGGGUUUUCUGUUGUGCUGCUUCUUCAGCGCAGUAGGGUUAACAUCGGCUGAAAGGCGCAAGGAAAUAUCCUUUAAAUUCUUACUACCUAACCUAACGAUGAGCUCAUGUUUAGGUCAAAGUCUGCAUCCCAACCAACAGGUGAGUAAAAAGAAAAAACAACAAUAAAAUUGUCCCUACCUAACUAAUUUCUCAUUUCUUUUUUAAACAAAAAACAACCUUUUCAACAAAAAGGAUCAAAAGUCCGAGGGUCAAACGUUCGUAUUGCAGUCGGGUUUCCAGGUCGUGAGAAUCUUAAUGGAAUUCUUAUUGACGCUGGGGUAUGCAACAGCAACUGUGUCCCUCGCUGUUGUAUGGUGGGUGUGGUUGUAGCGGCUGCAGAUUAGCCAAUUGAAGAUGUGGCGGUUGCAGCGGUUUUUGUAUUUUCUUACGGCAGUGGAGUUAGAGGAAUAUUGGCUUUGGUUAUAUUUUUUGUGGCUUAGUUUUUUAGUUUUAAAAUUUUCGAUUUAAUACUCAAACUUUAUUUUCUACUUCUGUUCAGGUUUUUAAUUAACAUUUUUCAAAAUAAGUUUUCUUUUUCAGCCUUUUUGUGUCUUUCUAGUAACUUUAAUUUUUUCUA